UUUUUUUUUUUUUUUUUACAGCAAAGGAGACAGCUCAAGGGCACAAAAAAGUAAACAUUAAUAAAAAAAAAAAAAGCCCGCUACUCGCUGCUCCUAAAAAGAAUCCAAAGAGGUGGCCGAAAGAUAAGUCAGUUUCGGGAGGAGAGGUGUCCUGAUACCCUCCUCUUGAAAGAGUUCAAGUCGUAGGCAGGAGGAAAUACAGAUGAAGGAAGAUUGUUCCAGAGUUUACCAGCAUGAGGGAUGAAAGAGUGAAGAUGCUGGUUAACUCUUGCAUAAGGGGUUUGGACAGUAUAGGGAUGAGCAUGAGUAGAAAG